GGCAGUAGCACUUCCCGGUCCAGCAUGCCUUCUGGGGAAUGGGCACCACAGAGUCCAGCUGUGAGAGUCACUUGUGCUGCCACCACUGGUGCCAUGAACCGGCCAAUCCAAGGGGGCAUGAUUCGGAACCCAACAGCAAGCAUCCCCAUGCGAGCCAACAGCCAGCCUGGCCAAAGACAGAUGCUGCAGCCUCAGGUCAUGAACAUAGGGCCUUCUGAGUUGGAGAUGAACAUGGGAGGCCCUCAGUAUAAUCAACAGCAGGCCCCUCCAAACCAAACUGCCCCCUGGCCCGAGAGCAUCCUGCCUAUAGACCAGGCAUCUUUCGGCAGCCAGAACAGG
rnacentral:lncRNA from 1 species